AGAAUUGAUCUUGGUCAGGAUGAACGCUAGCGACAGGCUUAACACAUGCAAGUCGAGGGGCAGCAUAAAAGUAGCAAUACUUGGUGGCGACCGGCGCACGGGUGAGUAACGCGUAUGCAACCUACCUAUCAGAGGGGAAUAACCCGGCGAAAGUCGGACUAAUACCGCAUAAAACAGGGGCACCGCAUGGUGAUAUUUGUUAAAGAAAUUCGCUGAUAGAUGGGCAUGCGUUCCAUUAGGUAGUUGGUGAGGUAACGGCUCACCAAGCCGACGAUGGAUAGGGGAACUGAGAGGUUGGUCCCCCACACUGGUACUGAGACACGGACCAGACUCCUACGGGAGGCAGCAGUGAGGAAUAUUGGUCAAUGGGCGGGAGCCUGAACCAGCCAAGUCGCCGUGAAGGAAGAAGGAUCUAUGGUUCGUAAACUUCUUUUGCAGGGGAAUAAAGUGCAGGACGUGUCCUGUUUUGUAUGUACCCUGAGAAUAAGGAUCGGCUAACUCCGUGCCAGCCGCCGC
rnacentral:rRNA from 1 species